rnacentral:rRNA from 1 species
GGAGCAUGUGGCUUAAUUUGACUCAACGCGGGAAAUCUUACCGGGUCCGGACACACUGAGGAUUGACAGGCAAUAUCUCAUGGUUAUUAACCCGGUUAUUACAUUUUGUUUAAUCGGUUAUUAAGCAUCGAGUGUUAAAUAUGCUAGCCUUUCAUGAUUAUGUGAUAGGUGGGCAUGGCCGUUCUUAGUUCGGGAGGAUCUGUCUGCUUAAUUGCGUUUCACUAAGGGCCCAUAAAUUCAAGGAUGUUAGCUAUCGUCGCUCUAUGGACCCCUUAUACUCGAUUUCGCUUUAAUUAGCGUUAUUUGUUUAA